rnacentral:lncRNA from 1 species
AAUAAAAAGUAAAGAGAAAAUCAGAAAAGAGAUCUGAUCCGGAGCUGCUGGUCCACGGAGCUGCCAUGCAUCCGCAGGAGAUCAAGGGGCUGUUGCUUUGUCCCCCGCCUUGUGGGACUGUCCUGGGAGAUGUUCAUUGUUAUAUGGUGGUGACACGUGGAAGAAGUAAAGGACAAAGUUUUGUCUUAUUUGAUAAAGUAGCAGCACGUGAUUGGAAC